AAUGAACGUUGGCGGCGUGGAUUAGGCAUGCAAGUCGUGCGUGAAGUGUAGCAAUACACGGAAGCGGCGUAAGGGAGAGUAAUACGUAGGUAUUUACCUCGGGGUCUGGGAUAGCGGCGGGAAACUGCCGGUAAUACCAGAUGAUAUCUUUGGAUCAAAGGUGUGAUUCCGCCCUGAGAGAAGCCUGCGGUCUAUCAGCUAGUUGGUAAGGUAACGGCUUACCAAGGCAAAGACGGAUAUGGGGCGUGAGAGCGUGCCCCCACUCACUGGGACUGAGACACUGCCCAGACACCUACGGGUGGCUGCAGUCGAGAAUCUUCGGCAAUGGGCGCAAGCCUGACCGAGCGACGCCGCGUGCGGGAUGAAGGCCUUCGGGUUGUAAACCGCUGUCGAAGGGGAGGAAAUUGUAGUGGGUUCACCCAUUAUAUUGACCGAUCCUUGGAGGAAGGGCCGGCUAAUCUCGUGCCAGCAGCCGCAGUAAGAC
rnacentral:rRNA from 1 species